rnacentral:lncRNA from 1 species
AGCCUUCCAAAGUCAAUACAAGGAGAUUUGGGAUUGUUAUUGCUACAUAACAAUCAAGGUAACAUUAUAAACUUAUUCUAAUGUCUAAUAUGAUUACUUGUAUGCUAGAAUUAGGGUUUAUAGUCUUGGAUUCAAAGCAUGUACAAUAGAGAAACCUAGAUCCAAGCAUUAGGGUUUGUAUGAGCACAUAGGAUGUUCUUAGGACCAAAACCCAUCAGUGGUAUCAGAGCCUAGAUUGGUUUCUAUUGUAUUGAUGCUUUGUAUGUUGAAAAAAUUCGAUUUUUGUGUUUCUGGGGGCUGAACUCGCCGAGUUUUUUAGAUGAACUCGCCGAGUUCAUGCUAACUCGACGAGUCCAUGCCUGACUCGACGAGUCGGCUGGUCAGUGUGAGGGAAAACCGGGAUUUCUUGCUGUUUUUGCUUAAGGAUAGUUGCCUUAUCAUAUUAGAUCAAUAUUAAUCCGAUUUUAUGAUAUAUUUGACUAUAUUCUUGAUCUAAUUGAAGAUAUUUAUCAAUUAAUAAAAUAUUUGUUUCCUUAUGUGAUAAUUGAUUAAUUAUUUUGAUUAAAUUGGUAAAUUGUUUUGCAAGAAAUCAUUAAAUAAAUCAAAUAUGGAUAAUUAUGUGAUUAAAUGUUAAUUUAGAUUAUUUGUUAUUUGAUCCUUGUGUUAUGAAAAGUUUCAUAUUUUCCCCUUUAGGUUUUAUAGUUUAAAUUUGAACCCAAAAGUUUUGUUGUUUUGAAAUUUAAAUAGUUAAAACCCUAAUGUUUUGAAAAAGGUUUCAAAACUUGCCCUCAAGUUUUGGAAUUUAAAUUUUGAUUAAUUGUUUAAUUUUGAUGUAUAUUUAAAUUCUAAACCCUAAUGUUUUGAAAUGUUUCAAAACUUGCCCUCAAGUUUUGGAAUUUAAAAGUUGAUUAAAAGUUUAAUUAGGAAUGUUAAAUUCUAAAACCCUAGUAUUGUUUUGAAAAAGUUCAAAUCACACCCUUAUGGUUUUAUUAAUUAAUUAAGGUGUAUAAUUAAAAGAGGUUUAAUAAAUCCAUAAAAGUUUUGGUUUACAAUUUAAUUGAAUUAAAAGUAUAAUUGUUAAAUUAGACCACCUAAUAUUUUAAAAGUGUAAAAUACACCCUAUACUAUAUAUAACAUUAAAAGUCUAACAUUAUAUAUAUGUAUGAGUAAAAGUCAGUCUUACCGUUAGUAGGCCUCAUUCACGAAGCUGGUCUAUAAGGGGUGUUUAAGGAAAUUGCCUAUAAAAUGGCGAUUGAAUGGGUAUCCACUCUUACCCACCGCACUCUUGACUAGUGGAGGGUCGUUAGCCGAACGGGUAGGAUAGGACGAAACCUUCCAUUAUAAGUAUAAUGAAUUAUUAAAGUAACUAAAUGUUUUCAUAAAAUUCCCAAUCUUAGUUACUUAGGCAAAAGUGAAUUGAUGCAAUUCCAUGAAAUUACACUUUGUGCCCUUGCGAAGACGUUAGUGGAGCGUGUGUGGUUUACCGGCACACUAAAUGGUUCUAAGCAAAGGUAGCAAAGGGUGACUCAAUGUUUGUCAUAGUUCGGUGGAGCGUGUGUGGUUUACCGGCACAUCGAAUAGGUGACUGUAACAUGUGAGGGCACCAUGUAAGUUUGCAUGGUUAUUCACACCCGCUUUGUGAUCCUCGGCAUCCCAGUCACAAACAAGAGGGGCAUAUCGAGAUUUAAACAUGCCAUUGAAAGUUCAAUGAAUCUCAAAGGAUCUAGGAGUUUUCAUAGAUUUAAAACUUAAAUUUCUUUUUCGUUUUUCAUGGUGGAAAUUAGUGAAUCGUCAUUCACUUACCUUCAAAUAUUCUGCAAUUAGGGUUACGGCAUCCCUCUCCCGAGUUGUAGAAUAUUGUGUUGGGUCCUAGCCUUAGUAUCUCAUUUGGGUGAUUUACUAAGGACUCAAUCAAUCAACUAACUUGAAUUCGUUUUCUCCCGUUUUGUAGAUGUCAAAGUUCGACAACUAUGGUCUUCCCAAAUCCCGUGGAACAAGCAUUCCACAUGAAGAUGAUAUUCCACGAUUCGAUCGAGGAACAAGAAAUCAUGCUUCACUUCCUCCUCCUCCUCCAAUUAUUCUCCCUAACCCACAAGUUCAAAGGCUUGAAAAGUUCAAGAUCACUCAAGCCCUUUUGGCAAGUAAACAUAAAGAAGGAAAGUCGGUGUGUGCACACGUCCUAGGGAUGAAGUCACACAUUGAUAGGUUAAGAAUGUUGGGAUCCGUUGUCUGUGAGGAAAUGGCUGUUGAUUGGGUUCUUCAGUCACUUCCUAACUCAUAUAGUGAGUUCGUAAGAGAGUACUAUAUGAUGAACCGCGACGUGACCCUUAUAGAUCUCACCUAUAUGCUUAUUGCUGCUGAAUCAGCAAUGGUUUGGCGCAAUAGAAAAGCAAAGUUGAUUGAUGAAUCUGCCUUCAAGACCUCUAUGAAUAUAGACAAUGGCAACGAAAUACAUGUUAUGAUCGAAAAGUUUGAUCAGAAGAGAAAGGCCAUGUCUGAAGUAGUUCCAUGUCCCGUUCCAAAAGAGUUAAUUUGCUUUUAUUGCCAAGAGAAGGGGCAUUGGAGACGAAGCUGCCCUAUUUACCUAAGAGAUCUAAGAGAUGGGAGAGUCAAAACGUAUGGCUCUGCUUUAGGUAAAAUCCAUUGACUAACUCUUUUAAGCUUCUAUUCUAGAUUCUUAAUACAUAAUGUGAUAAGAUUACAAUUGAUGUUUUGUAGGAUCGAAGAAAAGAAAGGAAGCUUAAGGGAAGAAGUGAGCAAAAUCUAACCGUGAAGGAAUGGAUUUCGAUCGCAUUUCUCGAAGAUUAGAUUCUUGAGCUACUACUUAGAGUUAGAAUUAGAUUGCUAAGAAAGAUGUAUUAGCAUAGUUUUUCAAUGAAUUGCAUUGUAAGGACAAAUUUUUCCGCAAUAAAAUAAAUUUUGAUUUUAUAUUAUUUAUUUAUCCUUGCAAUGGCGUAUAUGAAAAAUUGAUGUUUGAAUGUUUCUAUUAUUAGCAAUAAUGGAUUUGGUUCUUAUUAUGUUAUUUAUGGAAAGUCGAGAAUUUACCAAAUAGGGAGAGUUUCUCAUCGCCCAAGUUUCAAUUGGACAGAAAUUUGGAAUCAUGCAACUUGGUUGCACGAUGAAUGAGAAAUUUCAUAUUUGGAAAUUAGACUAAUUCGUUGACAAGGUGUCAAUUGAAGGACUUGGAAAUCGAGUACACAAAGUUGCAUGCUAAUCAAGUCCACCAUAAAAGUAACAAUGAUAUUCUUCAUGAUUUACUAAAAGUUUAGUAAAUAUGAUUAUACUUAUAAGAUUAAGUGUAAUUCUGAAUUGAUUGAAAAGGUUUAAAUCAAUAGUAGAAUAAAUAAGAAGAAUCAAGUACGCAGAAAGAUAAAAUUUUCUCCAUUCUAAGAAGAAGGGAGAGUACCUUUUAUGCUUUAUGAUAGGUCUUAAUGAUUAAGAACCAUAUCUCAAUUGAUCCUCUAAGUGAGUCUUAGUACAAUUGUAUGUCUAAGAAGAGGAAUCAAGAAUUGAAGAAAUGGUUAAAUCAAGAAGUCAAUCAUACUUCGUUCCAAAACAAGUCUUAGAGUUAAGAUUGUGACAUUGAGUGAAAAGUAUUAAGAAGGUUUAUAACAUUCAUUAAAUGUGGAAAGUUGUGAUGUCUUGGAUAAGACAAAGACCAACUAGGACCAAUUUAUGAAGUGUUUUGAUAAAAGCUACACUAACUCUUGAAUAUUUGUUUGUCAAGAAAUGGUUAUUGACAAGAGAAUCUUAUAUGUCAAGGAGUCAGUGGGAGUCUUAAUGGUCUUGAAAGGUUUCAAGAACAAAUCAAAUAAACCUUAUCGAUCAUCACUAGCACACGAGUUGAGGUUUACAACCUAUCGUGUUGACAUUAUUUUGAUUCUGUGCCAAUCCAAUCGAGUUAAUUAUGCAUGUGAGUUCUAUGAGUUCUCAUUUUGAACGCAUAAAAGGCAAAGCACCUUAAUCAAUGAAAGGUACAUUGAUAGGAAAGGGUGAGCUGCUUAACUACUUGGAAGACAUGGUGGGCAGCUGUGCUACCAUAAGGCAAGAAAUCAAGAUUAAGAAAGUUCGGUCCAUAUGAGUUUGAAUUUGUCGUAAACUUUGGUUUUAACAAAUUCACAUGGAUAGGAACACAUACACCGUUUAAAUCUAAGUGUCAUAAGAUUUCCUCCUUCAUGAAAAUGAUUGUGAGGAAAUGCUUUCACUAAGAAAGAUUUUAAGAAGAUAGUGAUUGUAAAAUUGCAUUCUCAAAUUCAAUUAUGGUUACGGCAUCCCUUUCCAUAAUUUGAAUUGUGAGGUUUGGCAAUUAGUCUUAAUUGUUUAGACACACAUAUGAACUAUCGAAGGCAAAGGUGUAUAAGUUCAAGAAGCAUUGAUAAAGGAUUAUCAAAGCACUAAGUAUUAGAAACAUGAACUUAAGAAAUUCAAUAAGUUUGGUUUUCUGAAAGUUAAGAUGUUUAUGAAUACAUGUCGAAGCUAGUGGGAGCAUAAGUGUUAUGUUUUAUAAUAAUCAUCAUGAUAGUGGGAGCAUAAAUGUUAUGAUUGUAUGAUUAUUAAGGAAAGUAUUGCAAGGUUAGCAAUAUUAAUUAUAGAAAACAAGAGUCAUACUUUGCAAAGUUGUAAGAGUUGAAAAGUUGUUUUGCUAUAAUUAAGGGAGAGAAUAUUAUGCUUCAUUUCAAAUCUAAAGGAUUAGGUUGAGAAAUGUUAAUAAAUUUAGUCAAAGGUACAUAGUGUGUUCUUAAAAUUUCGAUUAUGAUUACGGCAUUCCUCUUCACAAUUCGAAUUUUGAGAACAUAGCAAAUAAAACAUUAUGCGUCGUGUCCCAUACGCUUCGGGUAUAGGAUCGAUUGCAAAUGCUUUAAUGUUUGACCAUUCUAAAAUUUUCCAAAUGUCUAGCGCAUUUAGAGGGAAAAAGGACUAGAAUCGGUUUUGACUAAAAUAAUUAAACAACUAUCAAAGGACAAUCCAAAGUUCGACGAGGAUUGGUCGCUUGUGAGUAGUUGGAAGUAUAGUAUUGGAAAAUAUGGAAAUGUUUCCAUAUUGGAUGGACCAUAUCGACAUUAUUAUGAAUAGAUAAGAUUCUAUUAAGAAUGAGUUGUCAUAUGGAAAAUAUGGAAACGUGUCCAUAUUGGGAAUUGAAUAUUGAAAAUCUAUGUCUAGAUUAGAAACUUUUAUGCAAAAGGAUGUUCAAAGGAAUGUACUUUGAGUGAGAGACAUCAUAUCUAAGGAAUUGUCUUGUAACAAUCUCCGAUAGAGGACUUUGUAAUAUCAUUGGCAAUAGUCUUUGUGACUUUGGUGCAGUGACAUUACGAAAGGAUCAUUGCAUAAAAUGUUAGAAUCUAGCAUAUUCUAUAAGUAGCAAGAAUUUGAUAUUCUUUCACUUAUGAAAAAGGAUUUGGAGUUGUGAAAUGAGAAUGAUUGGAAAUGUGUUCAAUUUGAUCUAUUUCACAAAGUAAGAACCAUAGGUAAACAUUGUGUGCAUGCUAGGAGCAUGGGACAAGUGUAAUAAUUCAAGUAAGAAGUUGAUUACCCGAAACGACAAAUAAUGAGUAAUCGAUAUGGUGAUAAAUAAAAGGUGUUUUAUUUAUACUCAAAGGUUUGAGGCCAUAUGGGAUUAGUAUUAUUCUUGUGUUUCACUUUGCAUGUUUUGACUUCCUGAAUAAUUUAAUUGGUUAAGAACAGUCGAAUUAUUCGAACGGGCCACAGUCGUUCAUAUGUUGGAAGUAGGUAUGAAUGAAGACUGUCGUGAAUUGGUGUGUGGAUUGUCUAAAGAGUAUUAGACAUAAGCAAAUGUUUGCUGCAACGUUCAUGAGUGCUUAUGAAUAUGAUUUGAGCAUUGGAUUAAACCCACGCUCACUUGGAUCACUCCAUGAAUUGUAUCACGAGUGAUUGGUGAGACGAUAACAUCUUAUAUUCUUGAAACCGAGAUGUGUGAGUUGUAUCUUGCAAAUCGGUUGCACAUUGAUAAUAUGUAAACGCACUAGUAACUUGGUGUUAUAAAACAUAUUGUUGUGUGUGAUUCGGUGAGUGAGUGCAAGCAAGCAUUGUAUCAAAGUUUAUCCGUUCCUUUUAUCCAAAGUAGGAUAAAAGCGAUAUCUUUGGGCCCCUCGAUGAUUUAGUGAUGACAAACGUAAAUGCUCGGCCGGGCUAGGGCUAAUUUGAUUUGUUCAAUUAGUCAGUCGUCAUAAAUCGGGAAUCGAGAUAUAGUACAAAGAGAAUGAUUUGAAAUCAUAUCUCAUAUGAUAUCUAGAAUGGAGGAAUAUAUGAUCCCUUAUCUAAGGACACGCGUAUCUGAUAUGAUCAGAGUUGACAGCGGCUUUGGAAAGCUACGAUUGCAGAUCAGGAUCUGAAGUCAUACGCAUAAUAGUUAUUAGACUUAUCCAAGUGGGAGACUGUUGGAUUAGUGUCUAAGUCCAUAACUAUUUUGGUAUGUACUUGACCCGAUGGUGCAUGGUCCUUUUGGGUUGCCUUCACCAAAGCAACUUGAUAGGAUGAAUUAUGGAGAGAAAGGAUUAAAUAUGAUUUAUUAAUAUAUUAUGAGAAUAAUAUAUUAAAGGAGAAAUCAUAUUGUUUAAUUAAUAUUAGUCAAUAAUUAAUUGGUAAUUAGUUUUGUGACUAAAAGAGAUUAAUUAAACUUAAGGGACUGGAAUUGUAAUUAUAAGAUAAUUGCAAUUUGGGCCAUGGAUUGCCUUUUAUUAUAAGGUGGACGAAUUCUAUGGAGGAAGCCCAUAUGAAAUCGUCCAAGGCCUUAUGGAAAGGGCUCCAUGGGUUGCUUAGGGCUUAAGCAUCCAAAUUAGGGUUUCCUUGUUAGAUAACCCUGAUUGCCUCACUAUAUAUAGAUCCCUUAAGGACCAAAAACGUGGACAAGCCUCUUGCUAGGGUUUCACACGAGUUUUGGCAGCCUCCAUCCUCUCUCCUCUUCAUCCUCUUGCUUAUGGUGUUUGUGAACCAUUAGAGGAGUGACACUUGUGACUCUCAGCCUUCCAAAGUCAAUACAAGGAGAUUUGGUAUUGUUAUUGCUACAUAACAAUCAAGGUAACAUUAUAAACCUAUUCUCAUGUUAAUAUGAUUAUUUGAAUGCUAUAAUUAGGGUUUAUAGUCUUGGAUAACUUGCAUGUACAAUAGAGAAACCUAGAUCCAAGCAUUAGGGUUUGUAUAAGCACAUAGGAUGUUCUUAGGACCAAAACCCAUCAUUUACUUGUUCCAAAACUUGAGGGCAAGUUUUUUAAACUUUCAAAACUUUACAUUUCUCAUAAC